GAGAGCAGCGUGGUCAGCAGCUGAUCAGAGCGCAGUCAGCAAUCAAAAUAAGUGUUGAUAAUCAUAACCUCGUCGUCGAUGUAAUCAGUAAUUGGAUGAUAUGGAUCGUAUUGAUGAUAUUGAUCUUGUUGAUGAUGAUUUUGGCCGUCAGGAGAAUGAGAGUCGUCAUCAGCUGGAGAAAAGGAGGAAGCAGCAGGAGGAGGAGAGGAGACUCAGAGGAGACACCACCAAGAUCAUCAGGAAGGACGUCCCCAACCAGGGCGAAGGCUGCAUCAUCGACAACCUGCUGGCUGAGAUCAGGAAGGGCUACAACCUGAAGAAGACCAGAACCAGAGCUGAGAGGGGCAGCAGAGUCCACGAUCAUCCUGCGAUCAUUCAGAGGUCACUGGCUGUGGAUGAGCCCGACUCUUCUGUUUUCAGCCAAUCAGAAAACACUGCAGAACCACCAGAGAUCCAGAUCCCAUCAGAUCCUUCAGCUGAAACCAGACGAGAACCAGCUUCAGCGGAGUUUGAUGCCACAGAGACCCCAUACCCCUCUGAGGCCUCUGCUGCUGCCACUGGUGAGGAUGAGGACCAGAGCCAGACCAGAGUGCAGGACUCUGAGGUGGACUCUGGUCUAGACCUGGACUCCAGACAGCGAAGGAACGAGGAGUCUGAGUUUGAAGAGAUCACAUCGUUUGAAGCAAGAACACUAGAACAUAACGAUGAUCCAGGUGAACCAGCAAAGAAUUCCAGCUCCAGACCAACAGGAGCAGACGGUGGAUCCAAACCCAAAACAAAGAGAGGCUGUGUGUCACAAUGAGGUGAGUCCAGAUGACCAGAGGAGGACUUGUCUCCAUGGCAACAGGAGUGUCCGAAAGACAGAAACAUGAAAAAAUCCAUUCAGCGUGUUUAAAGUUAGAACGUCACACUGACGGCUGAUUGGCUGCAAAUGUUUAUCUGGGCAGCUUUUUAACAGCUUCUGUUUCUGAAAAAUUAAUUCACUGAAGUUAAAUGAAUUAUUAAGAUAUGUGAGUGUUGAUGUGCCAUCUGAUCGGGACUGAUGUGGAUGUUUGGACGAAGAAAAACAUCAGAGAUAAGAAAAGAUGAUUAUUAAAGUGAUGAAGCUGCAGAUCAUCAUCAUCAUCAGUUUAUCAAACGGAUCAAUGAAAUGCAGACGGAUGAUUUGAUGGUGAAAGCAGAAAACUGAUGAAUGAAAUAAAUAUUGAUUUGAUAUUGACACCUUGUCACCUUUGUGAUCGUCAUAUUUUCAAAAUAAAAGCCUGCAGCUUCAUCAGUAGAGAAAAUGUUCACGUUACAGAAGACAAAUCAUUUUAUUUUGAGAUAAUUAUCUGGUUAUACUUUGAUGAUGUCACAGGUUCCAGAUGUUGUGAUGCUGCAUUUUCUUUGAUUCAUCAGAUUCUUUUAUUGUGAUGGUGUGUUUCCUGUCACAGUGAAGCUCUGAAGAGUUUUUAGUUUGUUUGGAAAGUUCUGCGUGUGAACUGACGACCAGACGUCUCCAGGACGUUAUGACGUCACAUCAGACUGAGUCUGAGCUGGUCCAGAACUGGAACCAGACUGUGUUCUGUGUUCACGGUGGCUCAACAGACUGAAAACGGUUUAUUCUCCCAUGAUGCAUUAAACAAAGAAAAUAGAGACAUUGUUUUUUAAAACAUGAAAAAAAAUGCAGUGAACCAAAAAUAAAUAUUGAAUUUUAACAAAAACAUUUUGAUGUGUUUGAAAAUUCAGUGUUCUGAAGUCAAGUGACAUACUCUGUGUGUGUUUGUGUGUGUGUGUGUGUGUGUGUGUGUGUGUGUGUGUGUGUGUGUGUGUUGGUAGUCGGGGAGCCAAAGUCUCAAAAAUGGGUUGAACCUGACAUGGUCUGCCAUACUUUUUAUUUGUGUUUUUUCUGUUAACUUUGACCUUAAGAACCAAUAAUUGGAGGGUCUGCUCUGCUGGAAAUAUCGCAAAAAAAAAAUGUGGCCAUUUUAGUGCAUAUAUACUAUAUUUUUUAUCAGAAAAAUUACCCUCAGUGGGUUGGUUAGGCUGUCAAUAAAUGGAUUCCAGAUACACAGAACACAUGUGCUGACAACAUCCACUGAAAAAAUAACUCUUAAAACACAUUUCUACAUGAUUUUGCAUCAAUUUAAUGCAAAAAAAUUAGGCGUUUUCUCACUUUUUUCCAAUAUGUUCAUCUUUACUUCAUUGGCAAUCAAUUAUUCCUCCAAGUUAUGACAUCAGUCAAUAUGCCAUUCUUUUCACCAAACAGUAUACUCAUUCCACAGAAAAAAAUAUAAAAAUCCAACCAAAAUCAACGGAUCUGUGGAGAUUUCACUAGUUGGCGAUCGACAGGCUCAGAACCUCAAUAGAAUUUCAGACAUAUUAGUCUAUUUGCCAGCCCAUAGAGCCCCAUUGUGAACCUAGAAAUGUUGAGUGCACCAAAGUUAUAUGUUAGAAAUGUACAGUAUGGGUCCCCAGCAUUAAGAAACUGCCGGAUGCUAACUUGCAUAUGUUUGGCAAUUUGCAUAAUUAGCAUUAAUUAUAGCAUUAAAAAUAUGCCUAUAUUGGCAAUAUUUCAGCAACUGCUUGGUCGAUUUGGACAAUAUUGGCAUAGUUUUGGGGGUUAUUGAGGAUGCGGAAUCCAUUUCUGACAUUUUCAAAAUUCGAAAUGGCAGUUUAAACCAAAAGUGGCCAUAUUUUAACCCCCAGUGGACCAAUUUUGAUGCAUUUCAGAAUCAAGAGAGCACAAUGUCAUUGGUGUUAAUGUUGAGAUGUAAUACUUCUUCAAAUUUCUUCAGUUCUGCUUGUGUGUUUUGACUGCACAACUUUGUGUCAUUUUCGCUGUGGUU
rnacentral:lncRNA from 1 species